rnacentral:rRNA from 1 species
CGGGGUGAGUAAUGUAUGGGGAGUUGCCUGAUGGCGGGGGAGUAACUACUGGAAACGGUAGCUAAUACCGCAUAAUGUCUGCGGACCAAAGCGGGGACCGUCCGGGCCUCGCGCCAUCAGAUGAACCCAUAUGGGAUUAGCUUGUAGGUAAGGUAACGGCUUACCUAGGCGACGAUCCCUAGCUGGUCUGAGAGGAUGAUCAGCCACACUGGGACUGAGACACGGCCCAG